GGGCUGGCGCAGCUACCAUGCAAGUCGAGCGGUAGCACAGAGAGCUUGCUCUCGGGUGACGAGCGGCGGACGGGUGAGUAAUGUCUGGGAAACUGCCUGAUGGAGGGGGAUAACUACUGGAAACGGUAGCUAAUACCGCAUAAUGUCGCAAGACCAAAGUGGGGGACCUUCGGGCCUCAUGCCAUCAGAUGUGCCCAGAUGGGAUUAGCUAGUAGGUGGGGUAACGGCUCACCUAGGCGACGAUCCCUAGCUGGUCUGAGAGGAUGACCAGCCACACUGGAACUGAGACACGGUCCAGACUCCUACGGGAGGCAGCAGUGGGGAAUAUUGCACAAUGGGCGCAAGCCUGAUGCAGCCAUGCCGCGUGUGUGAAGAAGGCCUUCGGGUUGUAAAGCACUUUCAGCGGGGAGGAAGGCGGUAAGGUUAAUAACCUUGGCGAUUGACGUUACCCGCAGAAGAAGCACCGGCUAACUCCGUGCCAGCAGCCGCGGUAAUACGGAGGGUGCAAGCGUUAAUCGGAAUUACUGGGCGUAAAGCGCACGCAGGCGGUCUGUCAAGUCGGAUGUGAAAUCCCCGGGCUCAACCUGGGAACUGCAUUCGAAACUGGCAGGCUAGAGUCUUGUAGAGGGGGGUAGAAUUCCAGGUGUAGCGGUGAAAUGCGUAGAGAUCUGGAGGAAUACCGGUGGCGAAGGCGGCCCCCUGGACAAAGACUGACGCUCAGGUGCGAAAGCGUGGGGAGCAAACAGGAUUAGAUACCCUGGUAGUCCACGCCGUAAACGAUGUCGAUUUGGAGGUUGUGCCCUUGAGGCGUGGCUUCCGGAGCUAACGCGUUAAAUCGACCGCCUGGGGAGUACGGCCGCAAGGUUAAAACUCAAAUGAAUUGACGGGGGGCCCGCACAAGCGGUGGAGCAUGUGGUUUAAUUCGAUGCAACGCGAAGAACCUUACCUGGUCUUGACAUCCACAGAACUUUCCAGAGAUGCAUUGGUGCCUUCGGGAACUGUGAGACAGGUGCUGCAUGGCUGUCGUCAGCUCGUGUUGUGAAAUGUGGGUAGUCCCGCAACGAGCGCAACCUUAUCCUUUGUGCAGCGGAUAAGGCGGACCUCAAGGGAGACUGCCAGUGAAUAAACUGGGAGGGAAGGGUGGGGGAU
rnacentral:rRNA from 1 species